GUGUUACACUUGAUCGCUAAAUUCAGGUAGGCUUUCUGUUGAAAACAUUAUUUGUUGAUGCC
rfam:Picea glauca, whole genome shotgun sequence.